CAGCAGCCGCGGGAAUACAGAGGGUGCGAGCGUUAAUCGGAUUUACUGGGCGUAAAGCGUGCGUAGGCGGCUUCUUAAGUCGGAUGUGAAAUCCCUGAGCUUAACUUAGGAAUUGCAUUCGAUACUGGGAAGCUAGAGUAUGGGAGAGGAUGGUAGAAUUCCAGGUGUAGCGGUGAAAUGCGUAGAGAUCUGGAGGAAUACCGAUGGCGAAGGCAGCCAUUUGGCCUAAUACUGACGCUGAGGUACGAAAGCAUGGGGAGCAAACAGGAUUAGAUACCCCCGUAGUCCCUGUCUCUUAUAA
rnacentral:rRNA from 1 species